UAACAUGAUGAGACAAGGGCUGCACCAAGA
rnacentral:piRNA from 1 species